rnacentral:rRNA from 1 species
GACGAACGCUGGCGGCGUGCUUAACACAUGCAAGUCGAACGGAAAGGCCCUGCUUUUGUGGGGUGCUCGAGUGGCGAACGGGUGAGUAACACGUGAGUAACCUGCCCUUGACUUUGGGAUAACUUCAGGAAACUGGGGCUAAUACCGGAUAGGAGCUCCUGCUGCAUGGUGGGGGUUGGAAAGUUUCGGCGGUUGGGGAUGGACUCGCGGCUUAUCAGCUUGUUGGUGGGGUAGUGGCUUACCAAGGCUUUGACGGGUAGCCGGCCUGAGAGGGUGACCGGCCACAUUGGGGCUGAGGUACGGCCCAGACUCCUACGGGAGGCAGCAGUGGGGAAUAUUGCACAAUGGGCGGAAGCCUGAUGCAGCAACGCCGCGUGCGGGAUGACGGCCUUCGGGUUGUAAACCGCUUUCGCCUGUGACGAAGCGUGAGUGGCGGUAAUGGGUAAAGAAGCACCGGGUGACUACGUG